AACAAUCCUAGAGAGCCAUGGGAUAGAUGUCCAGAGCCCAGGAGGCCACUCCAACAGUGACGAUAUUGAUGGCAACGAUUACUCUGAGCAGGGCUGCGAUGUCCCCUAUUUUGAAAAGAGACCUCUGCCUAGACCCUUUGGUUUCUACAGACUUGAACCCUCGUCACCAACACAGGAUGAUAGCAUCAGCCACAGUGACCAUCAGGACCCCAUUUCCCUAGCCGUGGAGAUGGCCGCUGUCAACCACACUAUUCUGGCCCUGUCAAGGCCAGGGGCCGUCUCUGGGGACAUCAAGACAGAGGCUCUGGAAGAUGACUGAGGGGUGGGGCAGGGGGAUGAAGAGGGCAUGUUUGGAGCAGCAGGGGAAAGGGACAAGCAUGUGACUGUGGGUACAUUUGGUUGCAGUGGAGGCAUUAAAUAAUGACCAAAACUACAUGUAAUCUGUAGAUUUUAGAAACCUGUUUUGAAUUUACCCCCAUCCCCUGCCUGACCUUCUACUUCCCUACCAUCACCUUCCUCCAUAGAGCCCCUACCUGCGCCCAGGUUUUUUCUUUUAUUAGCUUGUUUAUUUAAAUACAAAUCUCACCCAGAUGCCAGCCCUCUCCUUGUGUGACACUAGGAGAUACAAACCACGUUUGGGGCAGUAGAGUUCAUGGUCUCCCUGUCCCUACUUCCUGUAGCUGUGUUCCUAAAGCCUGUGUGUGCACAAUGCUGGGGGCCUCUCCUAGUCAGUCUUGUCACAGCGCUUGUCAAAGGGCAAGGUGAGUGAACUGUUCAGUUUUGGUUAAGAACAAUCUUGGGUAUGGCAGCCUGUGAAGACAUAUUAGAGGAGAUAAUUGUUGGAUUUUCAUCCAACAGGUUUGAAGUGAGUCCAAGAUGAGAGAUUUCAAAAAUCUGUUUUGUUUUGUAUGUUAGCUGUAUUCUCAAUACAAAAUGAAGAGAUGUGUUUGAUGUAGGAAUUGGAUUCCCUGGCCUUCUUCCAAAAUGACAAAGUUGACUUUAAUAAGUGUAGGCUAAAACGUGCAGGUGGAAAAAAGACUGUACAAACAUGCAGCUGGUUGGAUUGCAUCAUGGAGAGGUCAGAUUUCAGUGCAUGGUCCUAUUUUGAUCAAUUUUGUGGGUAUGUGUGUUCAGCAUAAGAGUUGCAGUACAUUUACAUUUUGAGGAUGCCAACUCAAAGUGUUAGAUGCAAUAGUUGUGUUGUAGUAUGAUGAAGGCGCUGGUAGUGGUAGAAAAUAUCUGUCCUCCCCCUUUGUGCAAGUCAGGGGGCAACAUUUUUCUAAUCUCCUCCGAUCUGCAUUAUGUAAAAUUUACAUAUGGUAUAUACUGGCUGCAAGUUUUCAGCACCAAGGCUUUAACUUCAGGUUGAUCCUUCUACAAUAGUACAGCUUUCUACAGUGCCUGAACAAAGGUUAUGUGUUCUCCUUUUUAAUUACGUUAAAAAGUGAAAAAGUUCAGUGCUUUUAUAAGUCUCGUUGACGAUUGUAAAAUAUGAUUAAAAUGUAACUAAGGUGUUAUUAGCAGUGGUAUAAUUCCCUAUCUAAUCAUUGCCCCACACUUCUCUGCUAUAUAUAUAUAUAUUGUCCCUAGUUGAAGAUGACAUAUGGUUGUGAUUUCAGUAUGUGAGUGUUGUCUGGCAGCCAUCCCAAGGAUCAGUUCUUACUAGUGCGCCAGGGGCCCUGUGUGUCCCUGUAGUUUUGGAGUCUGUUCAGGGGUGCUGUGUUCCCUUGUAGUCUACUAGUUUCCUUGAGCAGACUGAGGAAUUCUAACAUGUCCAUGUUCAGGAGAGCAAAGCUCAGCUUGGCAUAAGAGAAAGAAUGGACUGAUGCAAAGUUGUCAAAUCUAUAUAAACUUAGCCAGACAGAUGUCUUAAUUGGUGUGAUAGGUAUAUUGCAAUGGAUGGGGAGUUUUUUUAUAAGACUGAAUGUGAUGCACACCAAUAUACACUUUCGGACAAUGUACACACUUAAAAUGGUAAUGUAGGCUAAAACUGUUAUGGGAAAAAAAAAAAUUAUCUAUAGCUUAUAUAUAAUGUAUGUCAUUGUAUGCUUAUGAACGCAACAUGUCAUAGCACAUGCAGUGCCUCAGAAGCCAGAUAUUUGUGAAGCCGUAUUGACAUUUUCGUUUCUAUUCUCUAUUCUGUUGUUGAAUCACAAUGCUAGAUGGAUUUAAAAGUCAGUUGAAUUUACACUCACCAAACACUUUAUUAGGUACACCUGUUAACUGCUCGUUAGCGCAAAUAUCUAAUCAGCUAAUCACGUGGCAGCAACUCAAUGCAUUUAGGCACGUAGACAUGGUCAAGACGAUCUGCUGAAGUUCAUACCAGGCAUCCAGAAUGGGGAAGAAAGGUGAGUAUUUCAGAAAUUGCUGAUCUGCUGGGAUUUUCACGCACAACCAUGCCUAUGGUUUACAGAGAAUGGCCCUAAAAGAGACAAUAUCCAGUUUGCGGCAGUUCAUUGAGCAAAAAUGUUGUUGAUGUUCAGAGGAGAAUGGCCAAACUUGUUCGGGCUGAUAGAAAAGCAACAGCAAUCAAAUAACCACUCGUUACAACCGAGGAAUGCAGAAGAGCAUCUCUGAACACACAACACGUCGAACCUUGAAGCAGAUGGGCUAGAGCAGAAGAAGACCACACCUGGUGCCACUGUGUACCUAAUAAAGUGGCCGGUGAGUGUAUAUGUUUACCACUGAUGAGAUAAACCAAAUAAUCUGGUCUUAAAUGUAAGAACAGGUAAGUAUUGAGUGUCGGUGACUGUGUGUGUGUAUCUGAAUUAGUCACAAGAAAGACAUGCUUCAGUGAUGACCCGGCAACGCAAUUGCAGGCUUAGUUUCAAAGGUCAUGUCAAAAUUUCAAGCUAUUUCAUAUCCUUUCAAUUUGUAAUAAAAUUGUUUAGCUCAUAGUAUUGUAAAAGUAAAUAUAUAUAUAUAUAUAUAUAUAUAUAUAUAUAUAUAUAUAUUCCGGUCAUGAGUUUUGGGGUACUCAAGGUCAACUCAUGGAGAUUAAUCUCAAUCUGUUUUGGACUAAGAAAAUGGGACGGUAAUACCAACUUCAAAUUGGUGCAAACUUUUGCCAUGAUAUCUCCCCUUCCCCCUCUGUCUCUUCCUAGAAAAUUUUUAAAGCAAGAUAUACGGACCGUGUGAUUCUGAAGGGGGUGCUUUGCAUCUUGUUUUCUAGGGUUCAGGGCUCACAUUCCUGAGUGUCCACCUGUCCUUGUUACAUUAUAUGGAGAAUGCAAGAAAGUUCUUUAAGAAAACGUACCGAAUUGAAAAAGUUCUACUGUAUAUCUUUGUAUCUGCUAUAUCAGAAUAUAGUGCCUUUAUUGGACAGUAGACUGUUCUGAAAUUAAUCUAGUAUAUAUAAAUAAACUUUUUGUACAGUUUCUUUAAGAAAACUUUUUUUUUUACUUGUGUUUAUUUUAGUAUUGUACGCAAUAGAGAAUAAAGGUAUAUCAAUGACAAA